UACGAAGGGUGCAAGCGUUGUUCGGAUUUAUUGGGCGUAGAGCGCGCGCAGGCGGAUUUGUAAGUCAGAUGUGAAAUCUCGGAGCUCAACUCCGAAACUGCGUCUGAAACUGUGAGUCUUGAAUAUCAGAGGGGGUAGGGGAAUUUCACGUGUAGGGGUAAAAUCCGUAGAGAUGUGAAGGAACACCAGUGGCGAAGGCGCCUACCUGGAUGAUUAUUGACGCUGAGGCGCGAAAGCGUGGGGAGCAAACAGG
rnacentral:rRNA from 1 species